UGUUCUGUGGCUUAGUUGGCUAAAGCACCGAUCUAGCGAUUAGCGAAUACGGAGUCGUGGGUUCGAAUCCCACCAGAACGC
rnacentral:tRNA from 1 species